rnacentral:rRNA from 1 species
UGUAAGCGUAUACCAAAGUUGUUGCAGUUAAAACGCUCGUAGUCGGAAUUUGGCAGUUCCGGAUGUGUGCACGUCGUGUGCGCACUUCGCGGGGAUUGCUUUUGUGGUCUUGCGUAGGAUGAGGCACUUUUAUUAGUGAACGUCCUCACGCAACCACUUUUUACUGUGAGAAAAUCAGAGUGCUCAAAGCAGGCAUUUGCCGUGAAUGUAUUAGCAUGGAAUAAUAGAAUAGGACUUGGUUCUAUUUUGUUGGUUUGUUGGGACUGAGUAAUGAUUAAGAGGGACAGUUGGGGGCAUUUGUAUUCCGGCGCUAGAGGUGAAAUUCUUAGAUUGCCGGAAGACAAGCUGCUGCGAAAGCGUCUGCCAAGGAUGUUUUCAUUGA